GACGAGCGCCGCGUCUUCAAUUACAGAAUGACCAGGGCACGCCGCGUCAUUGAGAAUACCUUUGGUAUCCUGGCACAAAGGUGGAGGAUGCUGCGACGACCCAUUAAGGCGAAAGAAGGCAACAUAAAGGCAUACAUUGGAGCGUGCAUAGUGUUGCACAACUUUCUUCUUAAAGAGUCCGCAGCAUCCUCCGCCGCCUAUUGCCCACCUGGUGCCACAGACAGCGAGGACUGGGAAGGCCGCCUUUCACCUGGAAGUUGGAGGGACGAGGAAGCAGUCGGUGGAGCGCUCUUGCCACCGAGACCUACUGGCUGCAAUGCUGCGAGGUAUGCGAAGCAAGUGCGAGACAAACUGGCGCACCACUUCGUCACAGACGGUCAAGUUCCCUGGCAAGACAAAGUGGUGAACAGCGCUUGAAGUAUACAAGUUCAAGGGGUCCACAACGGUCUCCUCAGUCGUGUCCUCGGAGGUUUCGGGGUCCACUGCAUGACUUGGCCCUGGCAUUUAACUGCAGUGAUGACAACUCUUUUCCAUGUAUUUGACAACGCUAGUGGUACAUGCACUGUUAGCAUUCUUUGCAUCAGGUGUGUGUUACGUGCAGCUGCAAACACGAGUGCACGUAAGGGGUUAUUACCAUUACACCAAGUCUUUUGCAUUACUUCUUUUCAUAACAUGACUGUAUGAAUGAUGUGCAGAAGCACAAGUUCGAUGUUUUUAU